rnacentral:lncRNA from 1 species
UUUUGGCUGGAUUUUCUUGACAAAACUUGAUCCAUUUUCUUCACAAUAUGCAUGAUAUCUUCGUUCUUCACAUAGUCUUUAUCACUGCUGCUUGUCAUGGUUAAAAAUAAAGUUUAAAAUAUAUGGGUUAAAAAUGGUUUAAAAAUAUUUUAUUUUCAUUUUCAAAGAUGUAGCAGUAGGAAUGUUGAAAAUAUGGUUUUAAUCUUUUCUCCACAUGUAGCUGGACAAAAAUCUUCUCUAUCAUCAAAUUAGUUACAAAUUGAUUUGAAACCACUUGAGCUUGUCUUCAACCUCAUUCAAGCAUUAGAUCAUUGAACCAUCGGAUCUUUGAACCAUGUGCUCUGAUACCACUUGUUGGGUUAUGAAGG